AAUCAACGCUGGCGGCGUGCCUCAGACAUGCAAGUCGAACGCGAAAGUUCCCGUUCGGGGAGCGAGUAGAGUGGCGCACGGGUGAGUAACACGUAGGUAAUUUACCUCGGGUGGGGAAGUAACAGCCGGAAACGGACGUGCUAAUACCGCAUAAUGCAGCGGCUCGACAUCGAGACAGUUGUUAAAGCGGGGGAGUCGCAAGACCUCGCGCCUGAAGAGAAGCCUGCGGCAGAUAGUCCUAGUUGGUGGGGUAAUGGCUCACCAAGGCGACGAUCUGUAGCCGGCCUGAGAGGGCGGUCGGCCACACUGACACUGACAUACGGGUCAGACUCCUAC
rnacentral:rRNA from 1 species